GUUAAAAUGAUGAUAAACUGUCACUGAACAUUGCGACUCGAUCUAUUUUGGAGAGAGAUGCGAUUCACUAGGAUGUUCGCUGUUGCGAGGCAUUUGCCUGAUUUUAAA
rfam:Drosophila mojavensis strain TSC#15081-1352.22 Ctg01_10148, whole genome shotgun sequence.